rnacentral:rRNA from 1 species
GCAAGUCGAACGAGACCUUCGGGUCUAGUGGCGCACGGGUGAGUAACGCGUGGAAACCUACCAUUCUGUACGGAAUAACGAUUGGAAACGAUCGCUAAUACCGUAUACGCCCUGUGGGGGAAAGGUCCGCCGCAGAAUGAGGGGUCCGCGUCCGAUUAGCUUGUUGGUGGGGUAAAAGCCUACCAAGGCGAUGAUCGGUAGCUGGUCUGAGAGGAUGAUCAGCCACACUGGGACUGAGACACGGCCCAGACUCCUACGGGAGGCAGCAGUGGGGAAUAUUGGACAAUGGGGGCAACCCUGAUCCAGCAAUGCCGCGUGUGUGAAGAAGGCCUUAGGGUUGUAAAGCACUUUCAAUGGUGAAGAUGAUGACGGUAGCCGUAAAAGAAGCCCCGGCUAACUUCGUGCCAGCAGCCGCGGUAAUACGAAGGGGGCGAGCGUUGUUCGGAAUUACUGGGCGUAAAGGGCGCGCAGGCGGCCAAUCCAGUCAGGUGUGAAAGCCCCGGGCUUAACCUGGGAACUGCACUUGAUACUGAUUGGCUAGAAAACGGAAGAGGGCAGCGGAAUUCCCAGUGUAGAGGUGAAAUUCGUAGAUAUUGGGAAGAACACCAG